CCUACGGGAGGCAGCAGUCGAGAAUCAUUCACAAUGGAGGAAACCCUGAUGGUGCGACGCCGCGUGGGGGAAUGCAGGUCUUUGGAUUGUAAACCCCUGUCAUGUGGGAGCAAACUAAAAAGAUAGUACCACAAGAGGAAGAGACGGCUAACUAGGUGCCAGCAGCCGCGGUAAUACAGAGGUGUCAAGCGUUGUUCGGAACCACUGGGCGUAAAGCGUGCGUUGGCUGUGUCGUAAGUCAGGUGUGAAAGGCGGGGGCUCAACCCGCGGACGGCACAUGAUACUGGGAGACUAGAGUAAUGGAGGGGUAGGCGGAAUGCGCGGUGUAGCAGUGAAAUGCGUAGAUAUCGCGAGGAACACUCGUGGCGAAGGCGGGUUCCUGGACAGUAACUGACGCUGAGGCACGAAGGCCAGGGGAGCGAAAGGGAUUAGAUACCCCUGUAGUC
rnacentral:rRNA from 1 species